UUGAUUAUGACGUACUUGUACUGAUUGAGAUUUUAACACGAAGUGAGUGGCGAACGGGUGAGUAACACGUGGGUAACCUGCCCAGAAGUAGGGGAUAACACCUGGAAACAGAUGCUAAUACCGUAUAACAGAGAAAACCGCAUGGUUUUCUUUUAAAAGAUGGCUCUGCUAUCACUUCUGGAUGGACCCGCGGCGUAUUAGCUAGUUGGUGAGGUAAAGGCUCACCAAGGCAGUGAUACGUAGCCGACCUGAGAGGGUAAUCGGCCACAUUGGGACUGAGACACGGCCCAGACUCCUACGGGAGGCAGCAGUAGGGAAUCUUCCACAAUGGACGCAAGUCUGAUGGAGCAACGCCGCGUGAGUGAAGAAGGGUUUCGGCUCGUAAAGCUCUGUUGUUAAAGAAGAACGUGGGUAAGAGUAACUGUUUACCCAGUGACGGUAUUUAACCAGAAAGCCACGGCUAACUACGUGCCAGCAGCCGCGGUAAUACGUAGGUGGCAAGCGUUAUCCGGAUUUAUUGGGCGUAAAGCGAGCGCAGGCGGUCUUUUAAGUCUAAUGUGAAAGCCUUCGGCUCAACCGAAGAAGUGCAUUGGAAACUGGGAGACUUGAGUGCAGAAGAGGACAGUGGAAUUCCAUGUGUA
rnacentral:rRNA from 1 species